ensembl:lncRNA
AAAUGACAUUUACUCAUAUCCAUUUUCUAUUUAAGGAAAACAAACCUCAGCUGCAGGAAUCACGGUGGUUGUUUUGUUUCUGGUUCUCCUACUCCUUCUUUUUGGCCUCAUGUGGUUUAGAAAGAAGCCCUCCAAAUUCACAGCAGACAAUGGACACGUGAGUCUGUUGAAUCAGAAGAUCACUUGGAUGUCAACGUUUAGUGGAACACAUCCUCAUCUUGUCUGUCCUUUCUCCAUCAGGGAUAUUCCAUCAGAUUGACAGCGGCUCAAGUAGCUGAAGAGGAACUCUCUAUUAUCUACAUCACAGGCCACAACACAGAACCAAGAGGACCGGACCACACCAAGACAUGAAUGUAGGACAAUCUGGAAAAAAAAGAAAAAAGAAUAGCCCCAGCCAGAACCUGAGAGGAAUACAUGGUUGCAGUGGGUCUUGUUAUAUUGGCACUAAAUUGAGGAUUACAAUUACUUCCACAAUGCAUUAUUUUAGUGUGCAACUACGCAACAUGUAAUUAUAACAGCUCUUGGUACAUGUCUGACCAUCACGUUAAAUGUUUCAAUUUGUCUAUUCAGGG